AUUGAACGCUGGCGGCAUGCCUUACACAUGCAAGUCGAACGGCAGCACGGGUGCUUGCACCUGGUGGCGAGUGGCGAACGGGUGAGUAAUACAUCGGAACGUACCUUAUCGUGGGGGAUAACGCAGCGAAAGCUGUGCUAAUACCGCAUACGCCCUGAGGGGGAAAGCGGGGGAUCGCAAGACCUCGCGCGAUUAGAGCGGCCGAUGCCUGAUUAGCUCGUUGGUGGGGUAAAAGCCCACCAAGGCGACGAUCAGGAGGUGGUCUGAGAGGACGAUCAGCAACACUGGGACUGGGACACGGCCCAGACUCCUACGGGAGGCAGCAGUGGGGAAUUUUGGACGAUGGGGGCGACCCUGAUCCAGCAAUGCCGCGUGAGUGAAGAAGGCCUUCGGGUUGUAAAGCUCUUUUGUCAGGGAAGAAACACCGGCUCUAACACAGUCCGGGAAUGACGGUACCUGAAGAAUAAGCACCGGCUAACUACGUGCCAGCAGCCGCGGUAA
rnacentral:rRNA from 1 species